rnacentral:tRNA from 1 species
GGCCAGUUAGCUCAGUCGGUUAGAGCGUGGUGCUGAUAACACCAAGGUCACGGGUUCGAUCCCUGUUCAAUCCC